rnacentral:rRNA from 1 species
ACACGUAGUCUACAUGCCCAGGGGACGUGGAUAACCUCGGGAAACUGAGAUUAAACCGCGAUAGGUCAAGAUUUCUGGAAUGGAUCCUGGCUUAAAUCUACAUGGCCCCUGGAUUGGACUGCGGCCGAUCAGGCUGUUGGUGAGGUAAUGGCCCACCAAACCUAUAACCGGUACGGGCUCUGAGAGGAGAAGCCCGGAGAUGGGCACUGAGACAAGGGCCCAGGCCCUAUGGGGCGCAGCAGGCGCGAAAACUCUGCAAUGGGCGAAAGCCUGACAGGGUUACUCUGAGUGAUUUCCGCUAAGGAGAUCUUUUGGCAGCUCUAAAAAUGGUGCAGAAUAAGGGGUGGGCAAGUCUGGUGUCAGCCGCCGCGGUAAUACCAGCACCCCGAGUGGUCGGGACGAUUAUUGGGCCUAAAGCAUCCGUAGCCGGUUGUGCAAGUCCUCCGUUAAAUCCAGCCGCUCAACGGAUGGGCUGCGGAGGAUACUACAGAACUAGGAGGCGGGAGAGGCAAGCGGUACUUAGUGGGUAGGGGUAAAAUCCUUUGAUCCAUUGAAGA